GAAAGGCAGGCGAAGUCUUCAUUCAUAAGGAUAAAGGAUUUGGCUUUAUCCGCUUGGAAACACGAACCUUAGCGGAGAUUGCCAAAGUGGAGCUGGACAAUAUGCCACUCCGUGGAAAGCAGCUGCGUGUGCGCUUUGCCUGCCAUAGUGCAUCCCUUACAGUUCGAAACCUUCCUCAGUAUGUGUCCAACGAACUGCUGGAAGAAGCCUUUUCUGUGUUUGGCCAGGUAGAGAGGGCUGUAGUCAUUGUGGAUGAUCGAGGAAGGCCCUCAGGAAAAGGCAUUGUUGAGUUCUCAGGGAAGCCAGCUGCUCGGAAAGCUCUGGACAGAUGCAGUGAAGGCUCCUUCCUGCUAACCACAUUUCCUCGUCCUGUGACUGUGGAGCCCAUGGACCAGUUAGAUGAUGAAGAGGGACUUCCAGAGAAGCUGGUUAUAAAAAACCAGCAAUUUCACAAGGAACGAGAGCAGCCACCCAGAUUUGCACAGCCUGGCUCCUUUGAGUAUGAAUAUGCCAUGCGCUGGAAGGCGCUCAUUGAGAUGGAGAAGCAGCAGCAGGACCAAGUGGACCGCAACAUCAAGGAGGCUCGUGAGAAGCUGGAGAUGGAGAUGGAGGCUGCACGCCAUGAGCACCAGGUCAUGCUAAUGAGACAGGAUUUGAUGAGGCGCCAAGAAGAACUUCGGAGGAUGGAAGAGCUGCACAACCAAGAGGUGCAAAAACGAAAGCAACUGGAGCUCAGGUAACUUUUCUCGAACACGUUUUCCCUGACAACUCUAAAAGAUAAUGUCUCACUCCUCUUUCCUACUGCCAUGCUACCUCAUGUAUUUAUAAAUGUGUUGGCAAAUAUUU
rnacentral:sRNA from 1 species